GAUGAACGCUAGCGGCAGGCCUAACACAUGCAAGUCGAACGGUAACAUAGGUGCUUGCACCUGAUGACGAGUGGCGCACGGGUGCGUAACGCGUAUAGAACCUACCCUUUACUAGGGGAUAGCCCAUGGAAACGUGGAUUAAUACCCUAUAGUAUAUUUAAUCAGCAUUGAUUGAGUAUUAAAGAUUUAUCGGUAAAGGAUGGCUCUGCGUCCCAUUAGCUAGAUGGUAAGGUAACGGCUUACCAUGGCUACGAUGGGUAGGGGUCCUGAGAGGGAGAUCCCCCACACUGGUACUGAGACACGGACCAGACUCCUACGGGAGGCAGCAGUGAGGAAUAUUGGACAAUGGUCGGAGGACUGAUCCAGCCAUGCCGCGUGCAGGAAGACUGCCCUAUGGGUUGUAAACUGCUUUUGUAUAGGAAGAAAAAGGGGUACGAGUACUCCACUGACGGUACUAUACGAAUAAGGACCGGCUAACUCCG
rnacentral:rRNA from 1 species